rnacentral:rRNA from 1 species
GACGAACGCUGGCGGCGUGCUUAACACAUGCAAGUCGAACGGAAAGGCCCCUUCGGGGGUACUCGAGUGGCGAACGGGUGAGUAACACGUGAGUAACCUGCCCUUGACUUCGGGAUAACUUCAGGAAACUGGGGCUAAUACCGGAUAGGAAUCCUUGCUGCAUGGUGGGGGUUGGAAAGCUUCGGCGGUUUUGGAUGGACUCGCGGCUUAUCAGCUUGUUGGUGGGGUAGUGGCUUACCAAGGCUUUGACGGGUAGCCGGCCUGAGAGGGCGACCGGCCACAUUGGGACUGAGAUACGGCCCAGACUCCUACGGGAGGCAGCAGUGGGGAAUAUUGCACAAUGGGCGGAAGCCUGAUGCAGCGACGCCGCGUGCGGGAUGACGGCCUUCGGGUUGUAAACCGCUUUCAGCAGGGGCGAAGCUUGUGGUGACGGUACCUGCAGAAGAAGCACCGGCUAACUACGUG